GGGGAUGAUCGGCUUCGACAUUCUUGUACCUUGAUAAUGUGCGACAUCGUGCACGUUCGUUAACACGUAAAAUUGCGAACACCAUAUACAUGCAAACAAUUCAUUUGCACGUGCGGUAAAGUCACCAUUUAGCAUGGCUGACUUCGCAUUCGCUCGCGUUUAAGCUAGCGGCUCAGUACAAUCCUUUUCUUGUGGGGAGCGUACAUGAGGUUAUCUCGCAAGAUCGGAAAACAUAUGUGCUCCAUAUAUUUUCUUAAACCUUAGAGCUCGACGUGACUGGGUUUUGUCUACUUCUUACCACCACGUUUAAAUCCCUGAGGUAGACUAUGUGUCGUAGAAGCAUCGUCGAGAACAUUUUUGGACGCGGGUUCGAUUCCCGCCAUCUCCACA
rnacentral:tmRNA from 1 species